CAAAUGCGAUAGAUAGUGCGAACUGCAGAUAUUCUGAGCACUAAAAUGUCGAAUGCACAUUGCGCCUUGGGAUUUACAUCCCUCGGCACGCCUGGUUCAGGGUCGUUUCUCAAAAAGGCAGCAGACUGCGCUGCUUGUACGACCAGGCACGAGCAUGCCCAGCCGUGGGGCCGCUCCGGGCCUGGUCUUGUUGUGGAUGCAUUUGCGUACGGACUCCAGUCCAAGGGCAACUGCUGGUCGUUCGUAAAAACAAAGACUGGCAGAGACUAGCCUAGGACCUGUUCGAAGGCGCUCGAUUUCUCGACCUGAACUCAGACGUGAUGACCCGCUGAACUUAA
rnacentral:misc_RNA from 1 species